GCCUUCAGAGAGGCCCUGUCAUGCAUCUUGAGAGCGAGAAGGUGAGAGUCUUGGGAAAGGAUUAGGAACACUGCCUGCUCUUUGCUCCUUAACUUUCAUCUUCUGUAAAACUGGUUCUGGUGUGAUGAAGGAACUGAGCUAUUUGAUGGGUUUAGCAAAUUUCAGAUUGCGUUUGUUCCCAGGUGCUGCUAUAUCCAGGGAAAAGAACCCUUGCAACCCCUUGUGAGUACCGAGUGAGCGAGCACACGCGGGUAUGUAGGCGCUUGGAAUUACUUCUAACUGGCUCUUCCAUAUGCAGCUUUUAUGGUCUAGGUUGGGUUUGUGCAUCUCUAGAAUGAUGCUGGUCUACUUCUGACGAUUUGGCCACUGUUUAAGACAGUCUGCAGAUCUGCUGGUGACACACUUCCACCUACUUAACAUACUUGCACAAAUGUAUGCAUGUGUUCUGUGAUAACUUCUGUUCAGACACCUUCCAGCAGAUUUUGCUCAUCUUCAGUGUCUUUCUGUGUGAUGUGUUGGAUUCUGACUGUCAUGCAGUGGACUUGAGAAUUAGUCCCCAAUGAGGAAGAGCAGAAGAAAAUUUUUUCUUCCUCUCUCCAUUGUAAAGGAGCAGAAUCAGCGGGCGUCUGUCCUGUCACUUCCUCCUCCUCUUCUCAGAAGCUGGAAGACUGCAGUUCCCUGCUCCCACAUCCUCAUCUCUACUCAGAUGUGUGCAACUAUUGAUGAUUAUAACAAGUCAUUUUUUUCAAGUCCAGGGUUCUUCAGGUGAAUUCCACCAAGGCUGUGAUAGCUCCUAAGUUGUGCCCUAACUGUCUGAAGAGGAACCAUCCUAGAACAAUUCUUAGGAGGAGGACUUUUGGCUCUGGGUGCAGCCCCGGCUCCGUGAAGCUGCUGGUGGUGAAAUUCCUGCUGACUCCGGAGAUUGGAAAGACAUGGGGGAAGGCCAAGAGUUGAAGGCCAGGGAAGCCCUGUUCCCACUGCUCUAGGAGGCCUUAGCUGCUGUUAUCUGCCAGAAGCUGGGGGCAUGGGGCAGGUCUGAAGAUGGCUGUUCUCAACACAAAGCACCUGCAGCCACCCCACCUGUUCUCCAGUGUGUCUCCGCGUCUGCAGGUGGAAACUCACCUGCGCGUGAUGCCCAUACUGUGGUCUCCACAGGUGUUAUUCUGCAUCUUCCAUAGGCUCCAAAAUCUCAACCCCUUUCCUGGAGGCAAGGAAAAGGACCAGAACCGCUUGAUUUAACACUUUGCAGCUUUCAUGACAGGGUAAAGAAGCCUGUGAGGUAUUACAUGUGUAAGGAGAUAAUGCUGUCAUUCCUGUUCUGUUCCUCAUCCUUCUCUCAAGUUUUUGCAGGGUUGUUGCCUUGUACAUCUCUGUCUUGGGCAGAUGGCUUGUGCCAGAGUAAAAAGGGAAAACUUUUUAAAGUAUUAGGAGCAGACUGGAGCAGGAGAAAGGUGAGAUUUGUAUGGCAGAGGGGUGAUUUGAUGUAGUGAGCGUGGCAGCUGUGGUCAUUUCUCUCUUGUCCAUGCACUGCUUUGACCCUGCCCUACAUCCCCGAAGCCUUUACACCUCAUCUGUCUCCAGGGCUCAGAAAUAUGAACUGGAGCCUCGCUGUGGUUCAUGGCUUACCUACAAAAAAAAAAAUAACCAAAGAGCAACUAUCGUUGUUCGUAAGCCUCUGUCAUGGCACAGCUUGAUGACAGGGAGGUGAGGAGCACGAGGGACCUGUUCAGGAUGGGUGGUGUUCCCCACGUGGCUGGGAGAUAAGGCAGAGCCCUGGCCGCAUGACUGUGAAAUAACGUCUGGCAUGCAGCAGCUCUGACUGCAGGUACAGACCGCGGUAGCUGGAUGGGCAGACGGGGGAAAAACCCAGAAGAAUUUGAAAAUCUGCUCAAAAAAAACUGUUGGCUCUCUGCACGUUGCACUAGAAGAAACUGCACACGUAACAGUUCGAGUAACAAGCCCUAAGAGGCCACACCGCGAGAUCAAAGAUUUUUUUGGCGUGAUGUACCAGUGAUGAAAACUGCCGGAGGAUGUCGCAGUCGAUGACUUAAGGAUGGAAUUUCCACACUGCUUGUGAGCCCUCUUGGUUAUGCAGGGUGACGCCAGCCCUUCAGGGUUACUUGAACACUGAUGGUUUUGUAACAGCCUUUAACAUGCAGCCACUGCAUUUUGUUUUGGAGCUCAGCGCUCCUAUCUCGGGAGUGAAUUUGUGACGUAUCCAUGUUCCUGUCCAGGAAAUGUGAGAAAUCCUCGCCUGUUCCUGUACGGUCAGAGGAGGCUGAGGAGAGAGGAGGGCUUGGAUAGUUCUCAGAAUGAAUGAAUGAAUCUGCCCAGAGAUGUUACGUUGUCUGUUUCUGGGUGCUCUUUGGAGCACAUCCAGAGAUGGAUUUAAUCUUACAGGAAUGAGGAGCUGUAAAUAACUCAGAUGUUUGCGGUGCCCAGUUGUGUUGCUCUGAUGUUGAUUCUGGUUGCUCUCUGAGCAGAGACAAGCAGAAGUGUGCUGGUAGGUAGCGUUGCAGUAACACAAGCAGUUAACGCUUCUGCAAGAGGUUAAUGUGUCUGGGUGUCUGCUUUAAAGGUGGGCAUUUCAAGUCUCACCUGCUCUUCUGAAGCACUGGGUGAAUGUGUUUAAAGCUGUUCAAAGGGGACAGUGGGGGGAGUAGGCUGCCCCAGCCUUAAAUUCAGGAUUUUGGUUCCUGAUGUUGUUGGUAUUUUCACAGGGUCACCCGAGGUCAUUCUUAUUGUAACUUCUUGGAGGACUUCUAAGCUAUUUAUUACAUACAUGAAAUAUGUCCCCCUAUAAUAGACAGACAUUAUGGUUUUGCAGUGACUCAUGGGACUAACACUUCUGUUUCAUUCUUGGAAUGGUUUGCAAACCUCUGGUCAAAUAAAAGCUAAGCUGGACACU